UACGUAGGCACCAAGCGUUGUCCGGAUUUAUUGGGCGUAAAGAGCUCGUAGGCGGUUCAGUAAGUCGGGUGUGAAAACUCUGGGCUCAACCCAGAGAGGCCACCCGAUACUGCUGUGACUUGAGUACGGUAGGGGAGUGGGGAAUUCCUGGUGUAGCGGUGAAAUGCGCAGAUAUCAGGAGGAACACCAGUGGCGAAGGCGCCACUCUGGGCCGUAACUGACGCUGAGGAGCGAAAGCGUGGGUAGCAAACAGG
rnacentral:rRNA from 1 species